rnacentral:rRNA from 1 species
GAGUAACACGUGGGUGACCUGCCCAUCAGAGGGGGAUAACACUUGGAAACAGGUGCUAAUACCGCAUAAUAGUCGACACCGCAUGGUGUUGAUUUGAAAGACGCUUUCGGGUGUCACUGAUGGAUGGACCCGCGGUGCAUUAGCUAGUUGGUGAGGUAACGGCUCACCAAGGCGAUGAUGCAUAGCCGACCUGAGAGGGUGAUCGGCCACACUGGGACUGAGACACGGCCCAGACUCCUACGGGAGGCAGCAGUAGGGAAUCUUCGGCAAUGGACGAAAGUCUGACCGAGCAACGCCGCGUGAGUGAAGAAGGUUUUCGGAUCGUAAAACUCUGUUGUUAGAGAAGAACAAGUAGGAGAGUAACUGCUCUUACCUUGACGGUAUCUAACCAGAAAGCCACGGCUAACUACGUGCCAGCAGCCGCGGUAAUACGUAGGUGGCAAGCGUUGUCCGGAUUUAUUGGGCGUAAAGCGAGCGCAGGCGGUUUCUUAAGUCUGAUGUGAAAGCCCCCGGCUCAACCGGGGAGGGUCAUUGGAAACUGGGARACUUGAGUGCANAAGARGAGAGUGGAAUUCCNUGUGUAGCGGUGAAAUGCGUA